GAAUAUUUCGUACAUAGAACUUAUAUAUACCCAUAAUUGGAUGGGCGUUUCUACCAACUACCGUAAUAGUUGCCUAUAAGUUUUCACUGGCUAUGC
rnacentral:ncRNA from 2 species